AGAGUUGAUCCUGGCUAGAACGAACGCUGGCGGCAGGUCUUAGGCAUGCAAGUCGAACGGAUGACAAGAGAGCUUGCUCUCUGAAGUCAGUGGCGCACGAGUGAGUAACGCGUGGGAAACUGCCCUUCACUGGGGAAUAACGUUUGGAAACGAACGCUAAUACCGCAUACGCCCGCAAGGGGAAAGAUUUAUCGGUGAUGGAUGUGCCCGCGUUGGAUUAGCCAGUUGGUGGGGUAAUGGCCUACCAAAGCAAUGAUCCAUAGCUGGUCUGAGAGGACGAUCAGCCACGCUGGAACUGAGACACGGUCCAGACUCCUACGGGAGGCAGCAGCUAAGAAUAUUGGGCAAUGGAGGAAACUCUGACCCAGCCAAUGCCGCGUGAAUGAAGAAGGCCUUCGGGUUGUAAAGUUCUUUUAGUCAUGAAGAUGAUGACAGUAGUGACAGAAAAAGCACCGGCUAACUUCGUGCCAGCAGCUGC
rnacentral:rRNA from 1 species